AUCAAGAAUUUGGAUGAGAAUGUACACGGCAUGAUUAGUAAGCUUUCAGAUGACACUAAAGUAGGUAGUAUUGUAGGCAGUGAAGCUGGUUAUGAUAAAUUACAGCAGGAUUUUGCUCAGCUGGGAAAAUGGGCCAAAGAAUGGCUCAUGGAGUUUAGUGCUGAUAAGUUUGAGGUGUACUUUGGAGAGUUCAACCAGGACAGGACCUUCACAAUGGUAGGGCUCUAGGGAGUGUGGUAGAGCAGAGCAAUCUUGCAGUACGAGUACAUAGUUCUCUGAAUGUGGUGUCACAGAUAGAUAGUGGUAAAUAUUGCUUUUGAUACAUUGGCUUUCAUCUGUCAGGGUACUGGGUACACUAAAGUAGUAUUAGAUGUUGGUGAGGCCACAUUUGGAGUACAGCGUACUCAUUUGGAAAGAGUGCAGAGAAGAUUUAUGAAGAUGUUGCCAGGACUCGAGAGCUUGGUUUGCCGAAAGACAUGCAAUUGAGGUAUUUGGAGA